rnacentral:lncRNA from 1 species
GCUAACGGUUCGCCGCACCGCACCGAAGGCCGUGGUGAAAGAGACACGCGUAUACUCGGCACACUUUCAAAGAUAGGGGACCGUGCCGAGAGGAGGAAGUGUAGCAUCGAUGACACCUUGACGUAAGGAAGUCGUCAAGCCGGAUUGAACGAGGGGCCGUCAAAAUAGAUGGCCUGGCCGAUUGGGGGAGAGGGGCGCCGACGGCUUCGGUUGGAAGCACAUGGUUAAGGGCAGGCGCGGCAAUCGCUCACCAAUCGGUUCCGGAGGCUGUAACCCGCUGACGGCCCCCGGUGAUGCAAUCUUGCGAGGCGCGCUUCGAAGCGUUGCUGAUCAAGUUUGCCUAAGUGCGUCCUUUUUGUUCUUUUGUUUUGAAGACGGUUCCGUUUGCUGCACUGACAGGCAUGAGGCGUGAAGGAGAUGCUUCUCCACACGGGUUAACACACCGAGGAAUGUCUAGUUUUCUCUCGCCUGCACGCAGGAACAGAAAUGCGCUGCUCCAAGCCCGAUGAAGAACUCGCGUCCCGGACGGGACGAAGAAGGUGGAGCAGGAGGCGGUGGCGGCGGUGGUGGCGGUGGAAUCUUCCCGGGCCUGGACCAGUGGACCAACUUGCUUCCUGGAGGCACCCUACCCGCGGGCGUGACAAUGCCGGACAUUGGAGCGGCCGCUUCGGCAGUCAGCGGCAUCGUGACG